rnacentral:rRNA from 1 species
AACGCGAAGAACCUUACCUACCCUUGACAUGCCAAGAACCCUGCAGAGAUGUGGGGGUGCCUGAAAGGGAGCUUGGACACAGGUGCUGCAUGGCUGUCGUCAGCUCGUGUCGUGAGAUGUUGGGUUAAGUCCCGCAACGAGCGCAACCCUUGCCAUUAGUUGCCACAUUAAGUUGGGCACUCUAAUGGGACUGCCGGUGACAAACCGGAGGAAGGUGGGGAUGACGUCAAGUCCUCAUGGCCCUUAUGGGUAGGGCUUCACACGUCAUACAAUGGUCGGUACAGAGGGUUGCCAACCCGCGAGGGGGAGCCAAUCUCAGAAAGCCGAUCGUAGUCCGGAUUGUAGUCUGCAACUCGACUGCAUGAAGUCGGAAUCGCUAGUAAUCGCGGAUCAGCAUGUCGCGGUGAAUACGUUCCCGGGCCUUGUA